rnacentral:rRNA from 1 species
GACAGAGGGUGCAAACGUUGUUCGGAAUUACUGGGCGUAAAGCGUGUGUAGGCGGUCUGCUAAGUCGGGUGUGAAAGCCCCGGGCUCAACCCGGGAAGUGCACUCGAAACUGGCAGGCUAGAGUAUCGGAGAGGUUGGUGGAAUUCUCGGUGUAGAGGUGAAAUUCGUAGAUAUCGGGAGGAACACCGGUGGCGAAGGCGGCGAUCUGGGUCGAUACUGACGCUGAGGUGCGAAAGCGUGGGGAGCAAACAGG